rnacentral:lncRNA from 1 species
CCAAAAUUUUGGCAAAAAUAUAAAUUUAUACAUAUUUACGCAGUUUUGUUAUUGUUUUAUUAGCAACAAUGUUUGGCACAAUCACAGUGGUCGAAAAGAACACUGAGAGUAACUGCCGGCGCACCGUACACCUACUCACUUACACACUUUCUCACACUGGACGUUACACAUAUGUAUAUGUACAUAUAUAAAUUUGCUAGCGUACUCCCGGCAAGUGGAGCUCAAGCUUUGCGCGUGCAUACACACGCGCAAGUGGAGGCAUCAAUACAACAGCUAGCGGCAUGUUCGUCACUACGAAUGAGUGCGCGCCAGCAGCGUACGCGCUUAAAUGCUUUAAUUUAAAUUUUAGUCUUUUGAUAUACGCCGUAUGUGAUGCGUCGGUGCUGUUCUCAAAAUUAAUUGCUGUCUUUUAGUUUGCUAAAUAAAUUCGCUAGCGAAUUUAAAUUGGAAUAAAAACUCUAUUUGAAUUGGGUCUGUGUUCUGGAUUUAUAACUACAACUUAACCAGCUGCUUAUAAGCAAGUUUUUAAUCCAAAAGUUCUUGGUCUUCCAGCUAAAUAAGUUUCUCGCAUUUUUACGAAAGUUAGGACCUAGUGAAGGCAGUCCAUAGAAAAUCGAAUGAUUUAAAGAAAACAAAAGUAUGCUGACUUAUAGAAGACAUUAAUUAACAAUUUGAUUAUAUCCGGCAUCGAUAUAUAUAAAGAUUUUUAGUGUGAAGUAAAUAAGGAAAAAAAAAGAACGGCUGCCAUUCCUCCACUGAUAUAAAAAUCGGAUAAAAAUUAAAUUAGUUAGUGUGCUUGCAAAACGAAUUUGCGAGAAAAAAAUUGACACUUAUGUGCAAAUAUCAAUCGAACGAAAAUUUGAAAAAGACAAUAAAAAGAUGCUAAAUUAUUGACGAAAUAAAUGGAAUGAAAUAAACACGAGGACGGCGAGGAAACAACGUAUGCACAAACGUUGAAGUGAAAGCGGUACCACGACUGCCGGUUCUAAGCAUUUAAUUUACCAGAAUUUAAGACUGAAUCUCGGCUCAAAUAUGCAGCGUAUUUCGUUGGGUACACUGCGGCCAACUCUUCAACUUUGUUGGUUUGCUGCUCUUGUGCUCUUAUUCGGCCAAAUAGCAGCAAGUCAAGGGAUGAUGUCUACAGAAGAGUUGGCAAGCAUAUCAUACAAAAAGAAAUAUCCACAUAACUUUGAUUACAAAUGUUUCACGAAUGACGAACCAGUGCCAAAUUUCCCAAAUGUACGAGAUGAUUCAAUUGGCCUGCAAGUUUCCGAUCGCGCCUUACAUCAAGUAAUGAGUCGCAUUUUCGCCAUCGUUUUGCGUGAGAAACUUCAUUAUCGUAAUGUCUCACUAGUGCCGCUCGUAAAUACAGUUAAUACGUCUGUCUAUCAAUUCGAAGAGAUUAAUUAUCGCAACAUAUUCGAUCAGUUGAGAUACUUGCCUGAUGGUAUUAUGACAAUGAUCAAUGUAGCUGUUUGGAUGCCAGCGGUGGUGCGAUCUAUAGUGCCGGAAACAGUUUUGGAGGCUGGCAUAUCAAUAACACCCGGACGCUUCGGCUGGUUUGUGCCGAAAACGCAGGUCGAUAUGCCAUUAGAGUUGGCCGCAUACAGUCUACACUACAGCAUAUUUCUCAAUCAAACGCAUGGCGAUUAUGGACGUUACGUAAUACCGGUAGAGAUACUAGAUGAAAUGCGUGUGGGUAAAAACUACGAGGAAUACAUAAGCCCAAAUUGCGUGGGAAGAACAUGUGUCACACUGUUGGCCGAGCACAAGCCCGACACCGCCUUCGUCAUGCAUCAUAUAGCCAGUACCAACAGUUACGUCAAUGUGCUCUGGUUGGGUGCGGAUUUUCGCGAGAAGCUGCGUCAAUUACAUGGCAAAUAUCAGGACAAGUUUAACGCUGAAUUGCGUCAUAAACGCUUUAUUGUGGUGCACUGGACGCCAUCCAUUGUGAUCGAUGGCGAAAUUGAGUUCUACCAAAUCACGUUGCCGCGUUGCGAAGACUUGUCCGUAUUACAUUUAACCGCGUGCAAAUAUGAGCUCACACCGGUACUCAAGUACUAUGAGCAAAGUCUGACCGACGAGCGCUUGGUGUCCGCUUUACGCGAAUUUCAAAUAUCCGACCACAUGCUUCAGUUGCUACAGCUAAGUUCACAUUGGCAUAGCACCGAUACGAGUAUCGAGGAUGUCUACAAUAAAGUGGCAUGCGAUUGGCUAAAGUCCAACGAGGAUACAUACACGCAAUGGAUUAGACCUAAGUCGCCAAUUACAUUAUAUAUCGGUGGCAUUUUUCCGCUAAAGGACUUCAGUCGUGGUCAUCAGAAUCUCGAGAAAGCCGUUAGACAGGCUGUUAAAGCUGUAAAUCAUAGUGGUUUACUUAAGAAUUACAAUAUCGAUGCGAAAACUCACGACGGUCAGUGUAAAGCGGACGAGGUUAUGAAAAUAUUUAUACAUUAUUUUUCCGAGCCGCGUGUCUUGGGUGUGCUGGGUCCAGCUUGUAGUGAAACCGUCGAACCAAUAGCGGGCAUAUCGAAGCAUACCAAUAUGGCGGUGAUAUCGUACUCGGCGGAGGGCGCCACAUUUACCGAUCGUCGUGCUUAUCCGUACUUCUUUCGUACGAUCGGUUCAAAUCGUCAGUAUGAGGACGUGUAUGUCGAGUUAAUGAAAUUUUUGGGUUGGAAGCGUGUUGCCGCACUUACGGAGGAUGGACAAAAAUAUACCGAGUAUAUAUCGCAUAUGGAGGCUGCUAUGAAACUACAAAAUCUGGAAUUGAUUAUAAAUAAGAAGUUCCUAAGUGAUGUGAAGGCUUCGGAAAUGAACAAACAUUUAUUGGAUCUAAAAGAAAAGCACGCUAAGAUCAUUAUUGCAGAUAUACAUAGUAGGAAUGCCGAGCUGGCGCUUUGUGAGGCCUAUAAUUUAGGUAUGACAGCUUACGAUGGCUAUGUUUGGUUCUUGCCCUCUUGGAUAUCUAAAGACUGGAGCACUUUGGCUGGUAAUCACAACUGUACAAAAGAGCAGUUAAAUAAGGCUAUAGAAGGUCAUUUUAGCAUAAUGCACACACCUUUUGGCGAUCUUAAUGGUACCAUGCAGGAAAAUAUAACCGUACGAGAAUGGUUACAUACACAUUCCCAAACGAAUGAUGUACUCUCGAAUUACACAGGUUACGCGUAUGAUGCCGUUUGGGCUUACGCCUACGCAGUGGCAAAGUUGCUGACAGAGAACGAAGACGCGGUAAAUAAUUUGCGUAGUAAAAGUGUGGUCACGCGUUUGGUACAGCUCAUUUGGCAGACAAAUUUCACGGGACUCUCUGGCCGUGUGCAGUUCGGUCAAGGCGGUUCGCGCAUCACCGAUUUAGACAUCGUGCAAUGGCGCAAUACACAAUUUCAUUAUGUUGGAAAAUUUAAUCCACGUAUUGUAGGUGAGGGCAAUCUUAUGCGUACCAAUGGUGGUCGCUUGCAGUUGAAUGAAGCUAAAGUAACGUGGCUGGAAAGCGGUGGUCAGCGACCAAGCGAUGGGACGUACGACUGUAGCUUUGCGCUGUUAGCGAAAUUACUCAAUAAGGAUUGUGAGAGCGCAGCCUUUACGUUCACGGCUGUGGUGUGUCUUUUAUUUGUGGCAAUUGUAUCGCUAACCUCUUUUCUCUUCUGGAAGAAACGUUACGACAAGAAACUGAAGCGUUCAGCGAAAAUAAUGAAAAAUUUCGGUAUUGACUUGCUGUCACCGUCGCGUAAUAAGAGCAACACGCUUGACAAAUGGGAAGUGCCGAAAGAGAAUGUGGUGCUUAAUCGGCGCUUGGGUAAAGGUGCGUUUGGCAUGGUGUAUGGCGGUGAGGCACAAAUUGGUGCCAGUGGUUGGACGGCAGUGGCAGUCAAGACACUUAAAGCUGGCGCCUCCACAGAAGAUCGUUUGGAUUUCUUAUCCGAAGCUGAGGCCAUGAAACGUUUAAAUCACAAUAAUAUAGUCACACUCUUGGGUGUUUGUCUGCAAACUGAACCGAUUUACACCAUCAUGGAGUUCAUGCUUUACGGUGAUUUGAAAACAUAUUUGCUGGCGCGCCGACAUUUGCUUAAGGAAAAGGUGGCCGAAGACUCGGAUGUCUCCUCGAAACGUUUAACCAUGUAUGCCAUGGAUGUGGCGCGUGGACUCGCCUACCUCGCCAGCGAGAAGUAUGUACACCGCGAUGUGGCUUGUCGCAAUUGUCUGGUGAAUGCGCAACGUGUCGUCAAACUCGGCGAUUUCGGUAUGGCGCGCUCCACAUACGAGAGCGACUACUAUCGUUUCAAUCGAAAAGGCAUGUUGCCCGUACGCUGGAUGGCGCCGGAAUCUCUAACUUUCGGUAUGUUCACGCCGGCCUCAGAUGUUUGGGCGUUUGGUGUUGUGCUAUACGAGAUAAUCACCUUCGGUUCUUAUCCAUAUCAAAGCUUAACUAACAAUCAGGCUUUUGAAUAUAUUAAAAGUGGCAAAACUUUGCAAAUACCGACGGGUGCGAAGCCACAAUUAGAGGGUUUGCUUAAAGCCUGUUGGAGUCAUGAGCCCAAAAAGCGUCCAACUGCUUCAGAGAUUAUCGAUCACAUUUCGAAUUAUCCACGCUUAUUGACGCCAUGUCUAGAUGUGCCGAGCGCUUCGGUGGAAAUGCCCGAAAUCGAAAGUGAUGAAGUGGAACUUUUACCCAAAUCACGGAAAUGCUCACCGUUCAGGUGUGAUUCAACGCUGGAUAUUUUACCGCAAACCAAUGUCACGAACCAUUUUGUAGACUCUAAUGAUUUAAUCGGUAGUACUGAGUCAGUCGUACAUGCGGAUAUAGAAAUUCCUGUCAGCUAUACAUUAGAUGUGUCGCCAACACCGCGUUUGAACAAUAACAACAACAACAAUAAUAAUACGAUACAUAAUAAAACGUUCAGUUUGGAUGAUUUUCAGGCGACGACUCCGGAUGGUUAUAGUGUAAUGUCACCGUUAUUUACGCAUCGCAUUAGCGAAAGUUCGGAUUCCUCGCAGGCGAGAUUGCUGAAGAAGUCCUCUUUAGAGACACUGCAGCAAACAGAAUUCUGA